rnacentral:rRNA from 1 species
AUUGAACGCUGGCGGCAUGCCUUACACAUGCAAGUCGAACGGCAGCACGGGUGCUUGCACCUGGUGUCGAGUGGCGAACGGGUGAGUAAUACAUCGGAACAUGUCCUGUAGUGGGGGAUAGCCCGGCGAAAGCCGGAUUAAUACCGCAUACGAUCUACGGAUGAAAGCGGGGGACCUUCGGGCCUCGCGCUAUAGGGUUGGCCGAUGGCUGAUUAGCUAGUUGGUGGGGUAAAGGCCUACCAAGGCGACGAUCAGUAGCUGGUCUGAGAGGACGACCAGCCACACUGGGACUGAGACACGGCCCAGACUCCUACGGGAGGCAGCAGUGGGGAAUUUUGGACAAUGGGCGAAAGCCUGAUCCAGCAAUGCCGCGUGUGUGAAGAAGGCCUUCGGGUUGUAAAGCACUUUUGUCCGGAAAGAAAUCCUUGGCCCUAAUACGGUCGGGGGAUGACGGUACCGGAAGAAUAAGCACCGGCUAACUACGUG